rnacentral:rRNA from 1 species
UACAGAGGGUGCAAGCGUUGCUCGGAAUUAUUGGGCGUAAAGGGUAGGUAGGUGGUCUUGUUUGUCUGGGGUGAAAGCCUUGAGCUUAACUCAAGAAGUGCCCCAGAAACGGCAAGACUAGAGUACUGGAGAGGGUCGUGGAAUUCCCGGUGUAGCGGUGAAAUGCGUAGAGAUCGGGAGGAACACCAGAGGCGAAGGCGGCGACCUGGACAGUAACUGACACUCAACUACGAAAGCGUGGGGAGCAAACAGG